UCCCACGUAGAAAGCCAGAACUCCACCUUCAGGAAAGGGAGGGCUCGGGGACACAUUCCCACCCUGCUCAAAAACCCUCUCCAAAAUACUGCGUCUAUUACUCCAGCGCUCCCACCCUCCUGUCUACUGUCUGUUCCCUCGCGCCCACACCCACCCCACUUUUGCCAAAUCGAACAAAGAAGAAGAAGGGCUUGAAGACUAA
rnacentral:lncRNA from 1 species